rnacentral:miRNA from 11 species
AGGCUUUGACUGGUGGCAAUUU